GACGAACGCUGGCGGCGUGCUUAACACAUGCGAGUCGAACGGAAAGGCCCUGCUUUUGUGGGGUGCUCGAGUGGCGAACGGGUGAGUAACACGUGAGUAACCUGCCCUUGACUUUGGGAUAACUUCAGGAAACUGGGGCUAAUACCGGAUAGGAGCUCCUGCUGCAUGGUGGGGGUUGGAAAGUUUCGGCGGUUGGGGAUGGACUCGCGGCUUAUCAGCUUGUUGGUGGGGUAGUGGCUUACCAAGGCUUUGACGGGUAGCCGGCCUGGGAGGGUGACCGGCCACAUUGGGACUGAGAUACGGCCCAGACUCCUACGGGAGGCAGCAGUGGGGAAUAUUGCACAAUGGGCGGAAGCCUGAUGCAGCAACGCCGCGUGCGGGAUGACGGCCUUCGGGCUGUAAACCGCUUUCGCCUGUGACGAAGCGUGAGUGACGGUAAUGGGUAAAGAAGCACCGGCUAACUACGUG
rnacentral:rRNA from 1 species